rnacentral:rRNA from 1 species
GACAGAGGGUGCAAACGUUGUUCGGAAUUACUGGGCAUAAAGCGCACGUAGGUGGUCUGCUAAGUCAAGUGUGAAAUCCCCCGGCUCAACCGGGGAAUUGCGCUCGAUACUGGCAGGCUCGAGGUUGGUAGGGGUGAGCGGAACUCCAGGUGGAGCGGUGAAAUGCGUAGAUAUCUGGAGGAACACCGGUGGCGAAAGCGGCUCACUGGACCGAAUCUGACACUGAGGUGCGAAAGCUAGGGUAGCAAACGGG